GGCGGGCGGCCUCCGUGUGCCAAAAAUAGGCCACGGGCACAGCCGCGCCCAAAAAUCAGCCCCCGAAGGUCGGGGUCACAAGACCCCCCAGCGGAAAAAUGGCCAAGAAACGCGUGGGCUAUAGCCUUGGUGGGGGGCGUGGGCGAAGUUCGUCCGCGGGACUCGGAAUGGCCCCAGACUUGGCGGGCGGCCUCCGUGUGCCAAAAAUAGGCCACGGGCACAGCCGCGCCCAAAAAUCAGCCCCCGAAGGUCGGGGUCACAAGACCCCCCAGCGGAAAAAAGGCCAAGAAACGCGUGGGCUAUAGCCUUGGUGGGGGGCGUGGGCGAAGUUCGUCCGCGGGACUCGGAAUGGCACCAUACUUGGCGGGCGGCCUCCGUGUGCCAAAAAUAGGCCACGGGCACAGCCGCGCCCAAAAAUCAGCCCCCGAAGGUCGGGGUCCCAAGACCCCCCAGCGGAAAAAUGGCCAAAAAACGGGUGGGCUAUAGCCUUGGUGGGGGGCGUGGGCGUCCGCGGGACUCGGAAUGGCACCAUACUUGGCGGGCGGCCUCCGUGUGCCAAAAAUAGGCCACGGGCACAGCCGCGCCCAAAAAUCAGCCCCCGAAGGUCGGGGUCCCAAGACCCCCCAGCGGAAAAAUGGCCAAGAAACGCGUGGGCUAUAGCCUUGGUGGGGGGCGUGGGCGAAGUUCGUCCGCGGGACUCGGAAUGGCCCCAGACUUGGCGGGCGGCCUCCGUGUGCCAAAAAUAGGCCACGGGCACAGCCGCGCCCAAAAAUCAGCCCCCGAAGGUCGGGGUCACAAGACCCCCCAGCGGAAAAAAGGCCAAGAAACGCGUGGGCUAUAGCCUUGGUGGGGGGCGUGGGUGAAGUUCGUCCGCGGGACUCGGAAUGGCACCAUACUUGGCGGGCGGCCUCCGUGUGCCAAAAAUAGGCCACGGGCACAGCCGCGCCCAAAAAUCAGCCCCCGAAGGUCGGGGUCCCAAGACCCCCCAGCGGAAAAAUGGCCAAAAAACGGGUGGGCUAUAGCCUUGGUGGGGGGCGUGGGCGAAGUUCGUCCGCGGGACUCGGAAUGGCCCCAGACUUGGCGGGCGGCCUCCGUGUGCCAAAAAUAGGCCACGGGCACAGCCGCGGCCAAAAAUCAGCCCCCGAAGGUCGGGGUCCCAAGACCCCCCAGCGGAAAAAUGGCCAAGAAACGCGUGGGCUAUAGCCUUGGUGGGGGGCGUGGGCGAAGUUCGUCCGCGGGACUCGGAAUGGCCCCAGACUUGGCGGGCGGCCUCCGUGUGCCAAAAAUAGGCCACGGGCACAGCCGCGCCCAAAAAUCAGCCCCCGAAGGUCGGGGUCCCAAGACCCCCCAGCGGAAAAAUGGCCAAGAAACGGGUGGGCUAUAGCCUUGGUGGGGGGCGUGGGCGAAGUUCGUCCGCGGGACUCGGAAUGGCCCCAGACUUGGCGGGCGGCCUCCGUGUGCCAAAAAUAGGCCACGGGCACAGCCGCGCCCAAAAAUCAGCCCCCGAAGGUCGGGGUCACAAGACCCCCCAGCGGAAAAAAGGCUAAGAAACGCGUGGGCUAUAGCCUUGGUGGGGGGCGUGGGCGAAGUUCGUCCGCGGGACUCGGAAUGGCACCAUACUUGGCGGGCGGCCUCCGUGUGCCAAAAAUAGGCCACGGGCACAGCCGCGCCCAAAAAUCAGCCCCCGAAGGUCGGGGUCCCAAGACCCCCCAGCGGAAAAAUGGCCAAAAAACGGGUGGGCUAUAGCCUUGGUGGGGGGCGUGGGCGAAGUUCGUCCGCGUGACUCGGAAUGGCCCCAGACUUGGCGGGCGGCCUCCGUGUGCCAAAAAUAGGCCACGGGCACAGCCGCGCCCAAAAAUCAGCCCCCGAAGGUCGGGGUCCCAAGACCCCCCAGCGGAAAAAUGGCCAAGAAACGCGUGGGCUAUAGCCUUGGUGGGGGGCGUGGGCGAAGUUCGUCCGCGGGACUCGGAAUGGCCCCAGACUUGGCGGGCGGCCUCCGUGUGCCAAAAAUAGGCCACGGGCACAGCCGCGCCCAAAAAUCAGCCCCCGAAGGUCGGGGUCACAAGACCCCCCAGCGGAAAAAAGGCCAAGAAACGCGUGGGCUAUAGCCUUGGUGGGGGGCGUGGGUGAAGUUCGUCCGCGGGACUCGGAAUGGCACCAUACUUGGCGGGCGGCCUCCGUGUGCCAAAAAUAGGCCACGGGCACAGCCGCGCCCAAAAAUCAGCCCCCGAAGGUCGGGGUCCCAAGCCCCCCCAGCGGAAAAAUGGCCAAGAAACGCGUGGGCUAUAGCCUUGGUGGGGGGCGUGGGCGAAGUUCGUCCGCGGGACUCGGAAUGGCCCCAGACUUGGCGGGCGGCCUCCGUGUGCCAAAAAUAGGCCACGGGCACAGCCGGGCCCAAAAAUCAGCCCCCGAAGGUCGGGGUCACAAGGACCCCCCAGCGGAAAAAAGGCCAAGAAACGGGUGGGCUAUAGCCUUGGUGGGGGGCGUGGGCGAAGUUCGUCCGCGGGACUCGGAAUGGCACCAUACUUGGCGGGCGGCCUCCGUGUGCCAAAAAUAGGCCACGGGCACAGCCGCGCCCAAAAAUCAGCCCCCGAAGUUCGGGGUCCCAAGACCCCCCAGCGGAAAAAUGGCCAAAAAACGGGUGGGCUAUAGCCUUGGUGGGGGGCGUGGGCGAAGUUCGUCCGCGGGACUCGAAAUGGCCCCAGACUUGGCGGGCGGCCUCCGUGUGCCAAAAAUAGGCCACGGGCACAGCCGCGCCCAAAAAUCAGCCCCCGAAGGUCGGGGUCCCAAGACCCCCCAGCGGAAAAAUGGCCAAGAAACGCGUGGGCUAUAGCCUUGGUGGGGGGCGUGGGCGAAGUUCGUCCGCGGGACUCGGAAUAGCCCCAGACUUGGCGGGCGGCCUCCGUGUGCCAAAAAUUGGCCACGGGCACAGCCGCGCCCAAAAAUCAGCCCCCGAAGGUCGGGGUCCCAAGACCCCCCAGCGGAAAAAUGGCCAAGAAACGGGUGGGCUAUAGCCUUGGUGGGGGGCGUGGGCGAAGUUCGUCCGCGGGACUCGGAAUGGCCCCAGACUUGGCGGGCGGCCUCCGUGUGCCAAAAAUAGGCCACGGGCACAGCCGCACCCAAAAAUCAGCCCCCGAAGGUCGGGGUCCCAAGACCCCCCAGCGGAAAAAUGGCCAAGAAACGCAUGGGCUAUAGCCUUGGUGGGGGGCGUGGGCGAAGUUCGUCCGCGGGACUCGGAAUGGCCCCAGACUUGGCGGGCGGCCUCCGUGUGCCAAAAAUAGGCCA
rnacentral:lncRNA from 1 species